GGGCGAUUGGCGCAGCGGGAGCGCAACUGCCUUACAAGCAGUAGGCCGCAGGUUCGAACCCUGCAUCGCCCA
rnacentral:tRNA from 1 species